GAAAAUCAAAACCGAACGUGGUAUCAUAUCCCGUGUUCCAUGCAUCCACGAUACAUCGAUUCGAUACAUCAAUAAGAAGGGAAGCGAUGCGGAAGAAGUUUUAGCGCGCGUCAUUUUUCCAGAGGAUGAAUUACAACUGCGACGACGAUAGGCGAGGAGAGUGUUUGCUCUUCAUCGAAGAUGUGCCGUCGUAUGUAUGUUGACACUGUUGGAGAGAAGGUUUGUUGGAUUAUUGGUGACUAACUGACACUUGUUGAUUCGAGAAUUAUUGUUAAAUUUCCUCGUUUAUCUUUGGCCAUUUCGACGGGAUAACGCGAAAAGACAAUCUAUUGGAUAUACAGACAAUUCUUACGUAACGCAAGAGGAUUACGUUUAUUUUUUUAAUAAAGUGUUUAAAUGGAAAUGAUUAACGAUUCGACUCGUUGCUCGGGGAAGAAUUAUAUGAAAUCUUUAUCGAAGUUUCCUCCUUUAUCUCUCUUAUUCAUUUCGAUAAACGAACGCGUGAAAAAAAAAAAAGACAAUCACGAAGAUAUUCUUACGUAACGCAGCUCCGGAGAUUACGCUUAUUCCCUCUUUUUUUAAUCCCCUCGUUUAUCGUUCCCAUCCGAUAUCUCGAAUCACAAACACAGGUGACAACGCGUCGUUCAAAUAACACGAGGCUCGACGGGUGUAUAUCGGUCGCGAGAUGCAGGUAGUCGCGCAUUGUUUGUAUGUACACACAGUGAGGGUCCACGCCUUUCCGCGACCAUUGACUCAUCAAGGCGAAAGGCAUCGAAGGGAUUCAGCGAAAUAUCAGGCAGGCCCCAGAUACACCGCGGGUCCUAACCCAAGGGACCUAACCCGAGGGCCGACCGACCCUCCCCCGACCGAUCAACUCCCUCGCCGAGUUGACUCGAACGCGGUGUGUGACGGACCUACAGCACCAACAACAGGAAACGAACCCGGAUGACUCACCGUCUCGCUCCGAGGAAACGAAGCUACGAAGCAUCGUGCACAGAAACUGGAACGCAACCAACUCUUACCGCGGUUACGCGCAUCGCAUAAUCUCGUUACCGUCUUCUCCUCAGCCGGUCACGCAAUCGUCCACGAAAUUCACGUGCCUUUCGUGGCAUCACGUGUCGCAAUCCGUCCGUGCAAUCCUUGACAAAUGGUAUCAAAAGUGGACAGGAAGUUUCGAUUCUUGAUUGAGAGUUGAUUAACCCCCUUUCGGUUAAAAAUUCGAUUGGCUAUCCGUCGUAUUUGAAAAUUUUUUCGGGUAUAAGUAAUGAAUUAUUAUAUCGAAUUAUCAGUAAAGUUUCUCGUUUUCUCGGGUACAACGAUCGAGCAAAAAUGCAUCCUCCAAGUUCCUUAACCUCGCGUUUCGAUUAUGGGGCGAUUAUGUGUCUGUUGUUCUUCGCGGAAACAGGCGUCAGUUUCUGGUCGAGAAAAUUCUCUCCGAAGAGGAGGAGUGCUUCGACCCCCACGGGAAGGAGUUUCGUUUUUGUUAACAAGCCCGCGUGCGUUUCGGCCGGAAGGGGCCGGAAGCGAGCGAAUAAUUUCGCAAUAAGGUGUUUCUAAUCGCCUCGCAAUCUCGCGUAUCCUCCUCGGCAUUUUCGUGCACGUGGAAUCGUAAUUAAGAGGAGAGGAGAGGAAGUGGCCGGUCAGGAAACGAGAGGACGAUUUUUCACGGCCCUCUCUCAUUGUUUGUUGGCGAUAAAACCGAUUAUUCUCGCGAUCUUUUUUCGCGCGAGGAGGGAACGAAGGGAAGACGAAGCGGCACAGGCCGACAAUUCGCUUAAAUGGAACCAAGAACACCAUUUACUCGUUUAUCGAGCGUUCGCCGUGCACAACUCGUGCGAUCUAUUGUAUUACCCGACCGAUGAGAAAAUUUCAUCGUGUUAUGGUGCCGUUGCGUGCCACGCCGGCCUCAAUCCUUUUAAUGGCCAUCCCCUAUCAUUUAAAUCCCUCACCGGGAAUGGUUUAUGGUUUAUAAAUGAAGAUUGUCUUCGCCUCCAACUUCGUUUCUAAUAUUCCUCGCAGAAGUGAGAAGACCGAUCGAUUCAAUUUCAAUCUCUAAUAAUUCAGGGAAUUUUUAAUUUUUACAAUUCCAUAAGAAACAAAGCAAUCAAUAUUUAACGUUACGAGGAAUCGUUUUCAUUUUGCAAAAAUGAUUACGACGCGAAAGAAAACAAAAAAAAAAUAAAUAAAUUUUCCAGAAUCGAAGGGGCUAGAUCUUCGACGAUCUUCGUCGAUUACGUCGAAAGAAAGUCGCGAGAGUAGAAAGAUCCAUAAAUCGCUGCGACAGCGGCGCGACUCGCAGGCCGGACAGGCAUAGAGAGCCAGACAGUCGCCAGGCAGACGGACACCAGACGGAGACGGUGAGAGCACUUUUUCCCUUUUUUUUUUUUUCUUUUUUCCACCUCUUUAAGAGGGCCUCAAUAUUCUUAUUGGGCAUCGGCGGCGUCUACAUCCUCAGGAGCUCGUUUUCCUUUUUUUUUUUUUAUUAUUAUCAUUAUUUUUUCCAGACUCCGAGCCCACUAGGGGCCCGGUUUCGAAAUUGUACUUUUUAUUGACCGCGCUCUCUAAACGAUGUAAAACUUACAUCUACGUAUGAUUAAAUUUAACCUCGUAUAAGCCACCUCUCAUAAAUAAUUCAGCUUGAAAAAUUCAAAUUAAAUAUCGUCUCUUUCUCGAUCCUUGUAUUAUACCGAUUGAAUAAUUAUUAAAAUACACAUUUUUACGAGGAUUACGAGAAAGAAAAUGGAGCUCGAGUAAGAGAUUUGUUUUAUUCCACGAAUAUUAUCAAUUACACUUUUGUUAUUGAAAUUUUGCGCAAAUUAUACGUUUCGUGGUCUAAUAAUUCCGAACGUGAUACAGCUCGAAGAUUCAAAUUAAAUGGAUGAAAAGAAAAAAAUAAAAUAAGAAAAAAAAAGGUACCAUUAUAUACGUCCGUCGAACAAUUGGAAAUCAAGGUGUUGGAAAUGUUAAGGUGCUUUUUCCAAAGAUGUAUGGUUGACAGCAGGAUGAUCAUUGAUGCGUUUAGAAACGUAGAAUCGAGGCGUCGAGACGGCACCACGAGCGAUUUCCAACGGCGCAAAAGACGCGCCCACACCUCCCUUUUGUCCUUUUUUUUUUUUCUCUCUCGGUCGACCCGUGCAUUAUUUUCUUCCACAACCCCGGUCCCGGAUCGGACCAAUGCACCUGCACAAGACGGAACAGGUCCCAACAGGUCCAUCUGGCUCGGAUUCCCCUGCUUCGAUGCUUCUUACCUGUCCCUCCCUCCCCCCUCUCCACGGUCUGAUUUCAGGCAGACUGUCAUUUUUUCUGGAAACCUCUCGGUAGGAGUGUUUGUGUUUGGAACACGAUUUUUAGCCCGGUUUCCUCCUCCCUCCUUCCCUCCUUCCCUCUCCUUCGAUUCUUCUUUCAAGUUUGUCGAAAUUUUUACGAUUUUAACGAAUCAUAUCGAUGAGAGCAACGUGUAUUGAAUCUUAUAUAUAUCGUUUAUAUAUUGAAUUCUUUCGUAAGAGAUACAAUUUCGUACAAGGAAAGGAAAACAAUAGCCUUUUAACAUCCGUUCUCCAAAAUAAAUAUGCAUUAACCCAUCGCGUUUUUUCCUUUUCUUUCUUUCUUUCUUUCUUUCUUUUUUUUUCUUUCCCUCCCUUCCAUCUACAUUUCCGCUGCAUCAACCUGACACGACUUCACAAGCAGGCUGCCUCGUUUACGAAAUCACACAGGAGGAAUAGUUAUCUCCUUGGCGAUCGAUGCUUAUCUUUCACAUAAUCGCCGUCCAUUUUCGUAACCAUUUGCUACCCUACCAUCCCUCCCCCUCUAUCUGCCUACCUCGUCUCUCAACGAACGACACGAGACCGUGGAAAGAAUUCGCGAACGAAGGUUCGACGAUCCACGACGAUUCACCUUGAGUUCCCACGGCCGGGAAAAUCGAAGCCCGGGGGAGAGGAGAAGAGGAAUCGAGAGACGACGACGCGGUAGCGGCGGAAGGUCGUUCAGAUAAACCUAAUCUCUAGAUAACAGUGUAAAUUUGCGGCCUCGACAGAGAGAGAAAGAGAGACAAAGACGGAGAGUUAUGGUGCUUGGAUCGUCGCCAGACGAGGAACCGCGUCGAAUCGCUCUCCUGCCAAGCUCUGGUCCCAAGAAUACACGUCCGAAUCGCGUAAAAUAAUCCGAAGCCUGUGCGCGACCUGCGAAGAAAUCACCCUUGUCAUUUUUCAAGAAUCGGGACAAAUGUUCCACCAACUCGUUAGCGGAAAACCAAUCCCGCUCCUCGAAGCAUCAGUCAACACAGCUUUGGUAGCUUUGCGCCUCCUCUUUCUUUCUUCCCUCUUCUCUCUUUCUUUCCCUCUUCUUCUUCUUUUUUUUUCUUCCCUCCACCCCCGAGCCAGCUCGGUUCGCGCGACCGACCAAGGGGAUGAACACACUUGUGUAAACGUGACCCGAACAGCGGCGUAGAAGAUGACCAGAGGAGGAGAGGAGAGGGGAAAGAGGAGAGCGUCCCUUUGCGGUUGGGGAAGGAGCAAAGUGGAUCUCUGGUGGCUGGUAAAAGCUGGUCGAAUCGUCUCGAGAUGUGGCGGUUUCACAUCUGGCCUUGCCUUUUCUCUCCCUUCGUUUUCGUUAGGAAUACGGCCGUGAAAAGAUCCUCGGCCGCGUCACGUAAUAAAUGGCAUGGGGCCCCGAAAACUGGUCCCUCUCCUCGCCGUGGCCCCUAUCUUUAUGAGAUCUCCUCGUGAAGGUGGACAAAAAGGAUCCUCCCCACCCCCGUGGCCCGAAGGGGACCCGGGUUCCUGGAAUUCGUCCAGGUUUUCUGAGACUUUAGGGCCCCUUACCGCGAACCAGCCACUCAGCCUACGAGUUUUCUCUCUCUCUCUCUCUCUCUCUUCUUUCGUUUCUUUUUUUUUUUUCUUUUUUCUUCGACACUUGGGAAAAACUCGUUCGUAUUUACGAACGUUUGUUGGAGCUUGAUCUCUUGGAGCAAGAUGUAUUUAGAUCUGCGGUCUAGUCGUUAAACGAUUCACUACAGGUGACGAUAUUUCGAAGGAAGAAAUGGAAUAGACACGGUUGAAUUUCUCGAACAGCUUGUGGUCGUUACUUCUUCUCGUCUACUCUUCUUGCUACUCGUCUUUCGGGGAUGAUUAAUGAAUUCGGAAAGAGGGUGUUCGGUGAUGGUUCUCGAGUUGAUUUUUCAUCGGUCGGAAUGACGUUCACGAAACACGAAACGAUACCACAACAGAUACGUUUUUUUUUUCUCCCCGUCUCUCUAUCGCAAUCUCGUCAUGCAAAUGUUUCGUAUAUCUCCGUCGUAUCUUCGCUUGAAAUCCCUUCUCCACCAUUCCUAAUUGUCCUUCUUUCUCGUGUCUCUCGUCGUUAAAAAUCAUUCGUCCAAAUCUGCUGGGGAAUAAUAAUACCCAAGUCCCGUGAAGAACAACAACAAACACACCCCUUUAAAAAGAAAAAGAAAAGAAGAUAGGACUUCCCAAACACCAAAGUCAAAGAUCAGUUCCUAAGAUUCCCACUCGUGUACGAUUCGCACGAGGAGAGGCAAAAAUCGGUCCAUUAGAGACAUCGAUCCUUUCUGAAGGAUCACUCGGUCACGGUGACCUUGGCUGGUCGCGAUCAAAAGGAGGACGAGAAGAGGGGAGGGAGGGGUCGCCGCGGAGGUAGAAUUAGGACAAGUUAGAACGGUGGUUAGCGUGGGAGGGUGAAGGACUAAUCACAGUAAUUUCGUUAUGGGAGCCACUAGGAACGGGGUCCGCCCCGGUGCUCCACCGCACGAUGCAUUUUAAUAAACGUUAGAAGAACGAAAGAGAGGAAGAGACUCGUCUAACGAAACGGGAGAGAAAGAGAGAGAGAGAGGGGCCUGAAUUUCUUCCUUCUCUCGUACAAAGGUAGAUGAAACGACGGAGGAAAGAGAGAAAGAGAGGGAGAAGAGAGACGAAGCAAAGGGAGAAUCGAGCCCUAUGGUGUUGCCGUAUGGGAAAUCGCCCGCAGGCAUGGUCAACGCGCGCAUAAUCGGUGGGCGUUGCAUGGAUUAUUACGGGAAGCUAAAAAGUAAUGAUGAAUUAUUCUAACUCCGCCAAGCACCCGCAACAACCAUCCCUCGACACCCUUCGCUCCUCGAGGAAGACGUUCCUUGACCCCGAAUUGCAACCAGGGAUAUACGCAGGUAUAAAUGCAUGCCGUGGAAUCGUUUACCGUCCUGCCUUCCCCUCUUCCCCUCCCCUAGCAAGACCCUCGAAGGGAGAACCACCCUUCGAAAUUACGGGUUCGAGAUCUUACGGUGAUUCUCUCUAUCUUUCCAUCUCUUUUCUCCCUCUUCCCCCUCUUCUUCCAACCUCUCCUCGUUUUCGAAUUCGACCUGACCGUCUCUCGUCGCUCGCUUCCUAGAGAGAAGAUCUCUUCGAACUCGGACGAAAUGGAAAUGGAAGAUGUAUGUACCGUCCAGGAUAUUUAUCGACAGUCUCCAAUAUGAGUCUAGUUCCUUAUCGUAAUAGGUAUACUCCGGGUCUACCAUCACAAAUAUUGAUAGCGGUUAUCGCCCGCGCUGUUCUGGAGGCGAGGAUAAACGAAGAAUUUUAUGCUGUUACGAUAUUGAAAGAAAUCUUGCAACGAAUGCAAUAUCGUAAUACUUGAGACGUCAUUCACCGAUCAAGAUCCCGUGUAUCGAUUUCUUUCUCUCUCUCUCUCUCUCUCUCUUC